UUCGGGGGGCAGGGUGACAGGUGGUGCAUGGUUGUCGUCAGCUCGUGUCGUGAGAUGUUGGGUUAAGUCCCGCAACGAGCGCAACCCUCGACCUUAGUUGCCAGCAUUCAGUUGGGCACUCUAAGGUGACUGCCGGCUAAAGUCGGAGGAAGGUGGGGAUGACGUCAAAUCAUCAUGCCCCUUAUGACCUGGGCUACACACGUACUACAAUGGUCGGUACAAAGGGCUGCCAACCCGCGAGGGGGAGCCAAUCCCAGAAAACCGAUCGUAGUCCGGAUUGGAGUCUGCAACUCGACUCCAUGAAGUCGGAAUCGCUAGUAAUCGCAGAUCAGCAUGCUCGCGGUCCGAAUACGUUCCCGGGCCUU
rnacentral:rRNA from 1 species